UUGGUACACCUACCACAAGAUAUAAUGAAAAACUUCUGCAACUAGGUACUCUUCCAGUUCUCUUUCUUAAUGCAAUUUUAUUCAGCUGAAGUAAAGUCAUGAAUGUGUUAAUUAUGUUUUGAAACUGCCUGAUCACAUUUGUCGGAUGUUUUGCUUAUAAGUAUAUGAACAGAGUGCUUAACUUCACGAAUCAGUAUUUCAUUGUCACAUUUAAUGUCAUUAAGUUUCAGUUUCUUCUAAAGUUUAAAACCGUUAUGGUUGUUUAAUUGCUAAAGGGCAAGGGAAGAAAUAUAUUAAUUUGUAUCAUGUCAUAAAUGGAUAUAUGAAUGCUAGCCUUACGGUGAUGUGAUGUUGUUGAAACUUUUCUUUUCCGAGUUCAUGUAUUGCAGAACCAAAAUAAAUAAAUAAUGAUUUUGUA
rnacentral:lncRNA from 1 species